GAUGAACGCUGGCGGCGUGCCUAAUACAUGCAAGUCGAGCGAACGGACGAGAAGCUUGCUUCUCUGAUGUUAGCGGCGGACGGGUGAGUAACACGUGGAUAACCUACCUAUAAGACUGGGAUAACUUCGGGAAACCGUAGCUAAUACCGGAUAAUAUUUUGAACCGCAUGGUUCAAAAGUGAAAGACGGUCUUGCUGUCACUUAUAGAUGGAUCCGCGCUGCAUUAGCUAGUAGGUAAGGUAACGGCUUACCAAGGCAACGAUGCAUAGCCGACCUGAGAGGGUGAUCGGCCACACUGGAACUGAGACACGGUCCAGACUCCUACGGGAGGCAGCAGUAGGGAAUCUUCCGCAAUGGGCGAAAGCCUGACGGAGCAACGCCGCGUGAGUGAUGAAGGUCUUCGGAUCGUAAAACUCUGUUAUUAGGGAAGAACAUAUGUGUAAGUAACUGUGCACAUCUUGACGGUACCUAAUCAGAAAGCCACGGCUAACUACGU
rnacentral:rRNA from 1 species